rnacentral:rRNA from 1 species
UACGGAGGUCGCAAGCGUUGUUCGGAAUCACUGGGCGUAAAGCGCGUGUAGGCGGCCCGGCAAGUCGGAUGUGAAAUCCCGAGGCUCAACCUCGGAACUGCACUCGAAACUGCCUGGCUCGAGUCCCGGAGAGGGUGGCGGAAUUCCCGGUGUAGGGGUGAAAUCCGUAGAUAUCGGGAGGAACACCAGUGGCGAAGGCGGCCACCUGGACGGUGACUGACGCUGAGACGCGAAAGCGUGGGGAGCAAACAGG